rnacentral:rRNA from 1 species
GACGAACCACACAAACGUUAUUCGGAAUUACUGGGCUUAAAGGGUGCGUAGGCGGUGCAGAUAGUGGGGUGUGAAAGCCCUCGGCUCAACCGAGGAAUUGCGCUCCAAACUCCUGUACUCGAGGAAGCUAGAGGUGAGCAGAACUGAUGGUGGAGCGGUGAAAUGCGUUGAUAUCAUCAGGAAUACCGGAGGCGAAGGCGGCUCACUGGGGCUUUUCUGACGCUGAGGAACGAAAGCCAGGGUAGCGAACGGG